ACAGAUACUGCGGGCGAGUGACUACUGCAUGUGCUUCCAGUGAUGCCGCCACCUCCUCAGGUCACGGAAAGCUCUCUGCUCAGGACGGGUGUCAGGACUCUGACUGCGAUCGGCACUGCAUCCCUCCCAGCUGGGAACAAUGUGUUCAGCCUUGAAGACAUCCAAAGGGGCUGGCCUGAGCUUCCUGUCCACUACCUGUUUUGAAUAUCUAUUGUUCUAAUAAAAGUGAUUUUACCUUUCA